GAUGAACGCUGGCGGCGUGCCUAAUACAUGCAAGUCGAGCGAACAGAUAAGGAGCUUGCUCCUUUGACGUUAGCGGCGGACGGGUGAGUAACACGUGGAUAACCUACCUAUAAGACUGGGAUAACUUCGGGAAACCGGAGCUAAUACCGGAUAACAUAUUGAACCGCAUGGUUCAAUAGUGAAAGGCGGCUUUGCUGUCACUUAUAGAUGGAUCCGCGCCGUAUUAGCUAGUUGGUAAGGUAACGGCUUACCAAGGCAACGAUACGUAGCCGACCUGAGAGGGUGAUCGGCCACACUGGAACUGAGACACGGUCCAGACUCCUACGGGAGGCAGCAGUAGGGAAUCUUCCGCAAUGGGCGAAAGCCUGACGGAGCAACGCCGCGUGAGUGAUGAAGGUCUUCGGAUCGUAAAACUCUGUUAUCAGGGAAGAACAAAUGUGUAAGUAACUGUGCACAUCUUGACGGUACCUGAUCAGAAAGCCACGGCUAACUACGUGCCAGCAGCCGCGGUAAUACGUAGGUGGCAAGCGUUAUCCGGAAUUAUUGGGCGUAAAGCGCGCGUAGGCGGUUUUUUAAGUCUGAUGUGAAAGCCCACGGCUCAACCGUGGAGGGUCAUUGGAAACUGGAAAACUUGAGUGCAGAAGAGGAAAGUGGAAUUCCAUGUGUAGCGGUGAAAUGCGCAGAGAUAUGGAGGAACACCAGUGGCGAAGGCGACUUUCUGGUCUGUAACUGACGCUGAUGUGCGAAAGCGUGGGGAUCAAACAGG
rnacentral:rRNA from 1 species